rnacentral:rRNA from 1 species
AAAACUUUCAACAACGGAUCUCUUGGUUCUGGCAUCGAUGAAGAACGCAGCGAAAUGCGAUAAGUAAUGUGAAUUGCAGAAUUCAGUGAAUCAUCGAAUCUUUGAACGCACAUUGCGCCCGCCAGUAUUCUGGCGGGCAUGCCUGUCCGAGCGUCAUUUCAACCCUCGAACCCCUCCGGGGGGUCGGCGUUGGGGAUCGGCCCUCCCUCUGCGGGGGCCGUCUCCGAAAUCCAGUGGCGGUCUCGCCGCAGCCUCUCCUGCGCAGUAGUUUGCACACUCGCACCGGGAGCGCGGCGCGUCCACAGCCGUUAAACACCCAACUUUCUGAAAUGUUGACCUCGGAUCAGGUAGGAAUACCCGCUGAACUUAAGCAUAUCAAUAAGCGGAGGAAAAGAAACCAACAGGGAUUGCCCCAGUAACGGCGAGUGAAGCGGCAACAGCUCAAAUUUGAAAUCUGGCCCCUAGGGUCCGAGUUGUAAUUUGUAGAGGAUGCUUUUGGUGAGGUGCCGCCCGAGUUCCCUGGAACGGGACGCCACAGAGGGUGAGAGCCCCGUCUGGCUGGCCGCCGAGCCUCUGUAAAGCUCCUUCGACGAGUCGAGUAGUUUGGGAAUGCUGCUCAAAAUGGGAGGUAUAUGUCUUCUAAAGCUAAAUAUUGGCCAGAGACCGAUAGCGCACAAGUAGAGUGAUCGAAAGAUGAAAAGCACCUUGAAAAGAGGGUUAAAUAGUACGUGAAAUUGUUGAAAGGGAAGCGCUUGUGACCAGACUUGGGCGCGGCGGAUCAUCCGGGGUUCUCUCCGGUGCACUUCGCCGCGUCUAGGCCAGCAUCAGUUCGUCGCGGGGGAAAAAGGCUUCGGGAACGUGGCUCCUCCGGGAGUGUUAUAGCCCGUUGCAUAAUACCCUGCGGUGGACUGAGGACCGCGCAUCUGCAAGGAUGCUGGCGUAAUGGUCACCAGCGACCCGUCUUGAAACACGGACCAAGGAGUCGUCUUCGUAUGCGAGUGUUCGGGUGUCAAACCCCUACGCGUAAUGAAAGUGAACGCAGGUGAGAGCUUCGGCGCAUCAUCGACCGAUCCUGAUGUUCUCGGAUGGAUUUGAGUAAGAGCAUACGGGGCCGGACCCGAAAGAAGGUGAACUAUGCCUGUAUAGGGUGAAGCCAGAGGAAACUCUGGUGGAGGCUCGCAGCGGUUCUGACGUGCAAAUCGAUCGUCAAAUAUGGGCAU